GUCCGCAACGAGCGCAACCCUACUUGUUAGUUGCCAUCAUUCAGUUGGGCGACUCUAGCGAGACUGCCGGUAAUAAACCGGAGGAAGGUGGGGAGUGACGUCAAAUCAUCAUGCCCCUUACUGACCUGGGCUACACACGUGCUACAAUGGUUGGUACAACGAGUUGCGAGUCGGUGACGGCGAGCUAAUCUCUUAAAGCCAAUCUCAGUUCGGAUUGUAGGCUGCAACUCGCCUACAUGAAGUCGGAAUCGCUAGUAAUCGCGGAUCAGCAUGCCCGCGGUCGAAUACGUUCCCGGGCCUU
rnacentral:rRNA from 1 species